rfam:Canis lupus familiaris chromosome X, whole genome shotgun sequence.
CAAAAGGUCUUUCUCAAGACCACUGAGGUUUCAUUUUUUUUAAGAU